GACAGAGGGUGCGAACGUUGUUCGGAAUUACUGGGCGUAAAGCGCGUGUAGACUGUUCGGUAAGUCGGGUGUGAAAGCCCUGGGCUCAACCUAGGAAGUGCACUCGAAACUCCCGAACUGGAGUCCCGGAGAGGAAGGUGGAAUUCUCGGUGUAGAGGUGAAAUUCGUAGAUAUCGAGAGGAACACCAGUGGCGAAGGCGAGUCUCUGGACAUUUCCUGACGCUGAGGCACGAAAGCCAGGGGAGCAAACGGG
rnacentral:rRNA from 1 species